UGCACCACUCCUACGGGAGCAGCAGUCGAGAAUCUUCGGCAAUGGGCGAAAGCCUGACCGAGCGACGCCGCGUGUGGGAUGAAGGCCUUCGGGUUGUAAACCACUGUCGUAGAGGAGGAAGUUGAUUGGGGUUCUCCCCAGUCAUUGACCUAUUCUAGGAGGAAGGACGGGCUAAGUUCGUGCCAGCAGCCGCGGUAAUACGAACCGUCCAAACGUUAUUCGGAAUUACUGGGCUUAAAGGGUACGUAGGCGGCGCUGUCAGUCGGGUGUGAAAUCCCACGGCUCAACCGUGGAAUUGCGCCCGAUACUGCAGUGCUUGAGGGAGACAGAGGUAAGCGGAACUGAUGGUGGAGCGGUGGAAUGCGUUGAUAUCAUCAGGAACACCAGUGGCGAAAGCGGCUUACUGGGUCUCUUCUGACGCUGAGGUACGAAAGCCAA
rnacentral:rRNA from 1 species